UCCACUGCCCUGCUCCCGCUUCUUCUUCAGCACUGUUCCAAGCUUUUACUGCACCUCCUGCCUGUCGAGACUCUUGGUGAUCCCGAGGGCGCUGCCCUGCACCGGACUGGCUGCCCCAGGGUUUGUGAGGCGCAGCCUCUCCUCCGUCCCCGCCCGCGUGGACUGAGCCGCCAUUGCCGCGCGCUGCCCGAGCCCGCCCGCAGCGCCCCCUGUGGCCACGGGGCAGCACCGCGCGGCCCUGCCUGCUGGGAGAGCAGCGCCCCUGCCGGCCACGCCCAGCGCUGCAGCAGAGGGAGGCCAGGCCCGGCCCGGGCCCUGCUCGGGGCAACACAUAGGAGAUCAUCUUUUCCAUUAUUAGCUCAGUAAAUAAUUCCUUCAUAAUAAAGAGGCAAAUGCCAGAAUAAUUGAUGCAGAAGGGUCUCAGCCAUGGGCUGGAACACAGAAGGUGCUGGAAGAUUCCAGUUGUCUGUCUCCUGAGCAAAGUCAAAGCCUGACUGGAUGUCACAGACAGCAACCAUAAUUCAAGCCUAACAUACAGAGUCCACUGUGAGUCAACUGUGUGCACAUCACUGCUUCCAAUCAAAAUGCUUACGGUCGAUAAGUCUAAUGAUGAUAGACUCAAGGCAGCCCAUAUAAUAUCUGGAAGCUGCUAUCAGUUUCUUUCUUGUCACAAGUUA